GAUAGAAUGGCUGAGUAAAGCAUUAGACUGUAAAUCUAAAGACAGAGGUGGCUCCUCUUUCUAUCA
rnacentral:tRNA from 2 species